UACAUGGGGUGCAAACGUUGCUCGGAAUUAUUGGGCGUAAAGCGCACGUAGGCGGUUUGUUAAGUCGGAUGUGAAAUCCCUCGGCUCAACCUGAGGAAGUGCAUCCGAAACUGGCAGGCUUGAGUACUAAAGAGGGUCGCGGAAUUCCCGGUGUAGAGGUGAAAUUCGUAGAUAUCGGGAGGAAACACCGGUGGCGAAGGCGGCGACCUGGGUAGAUACUGACGCUGAGGUGGCGAAAGCGAUGGGGAGCAAACAGGG
rnacentral:rRNA from 1 species